rnacentral:tRNA from 1 species
UCGAUGUCCGAGCGGUUAAAGGAGACGGAUUGUAAAUCCGUUGGCUAUGCCUACGCUGGUUCAAAUCCAGCUCGGCC